CCAGUAGCGGCGACAAGGCGUCGCCGGUAAAAGUCUUUCCGUAAACUCCCUAUACAGCGCCAUUUCUUCCCUCCUUCUUCACUUUUUCCCCCAAACUCUUCACCUUACCGCCGGAGAACCGCCUUUUUUCACCAAAUCGAAAAUUCGGAUCACCACCAUCACCUCUCCGGUCACCACCAUCACUUCUCCGGUCACCACCUCGUCUCCGCGGUCUAUAUCUACUUGAAAGCUUGAAAUUACGUUGCAUAAUGCCUAUCGAUAAAAGUUGGAUUGAUUCCCCACGUCAUUCACCUCACUACAAGCAAGGACUCGAGUCAUUUAUCGAGAUGUGUGAAAGAGUGAUAAAAAACCACGAUGAAGUUAGAUGUCCGUGUACCCAAUGUAAAAAUUCCGGCUUAAUAACUAUGGCAGAAAUGAAAUACCAUUUGCGUAUUAACAGUUUUUGGAAGGAAUACACUUCGUGGACCUAUCACAGGGACACGACUCCAAUUGCACAAGUAAACGAUGUUGCGCCACAAGACGGUAUGGUAAACGUUAUUGAAGACAUUAGGGGGGAGCGUAUGGAAGAAGAUACAUACCUUAACCAAGAGAACUCGAAUGGAGAUAGUAGCAGUGUUGU